UACGUAGGGUGCAAGCGUUGUCCGGAAUUAUUGGGCGUAAAGAGCUCGUAGGCGGCUUGUCGCGUCUGCUGUGAAAUCCUGAGGCUCAACCUUGGGCGUGCAGUGGGUACGGGCAGGCUAGAGUGCGGUAGGGGAGAUUGGAAUUCCUGGUGUAGCGGUGGAAUGCGCAGAUAUCAGGAGGAACACCGAUGGCGAAGGCAGAUCUCUGGGCCGCUACUGACGCUGAGGAGCGAAAGCAUGGGGAGCGAA
rnacentral:rRNA from 1 species